GUGCCAGCAGCCGCGGUAAAACGUAGGAGGCGAGCGUUAUCCGGAUUUACUGGGUGUAAAGCGCGUGCAGGCGGACGGGUAAGUUGGGUGUGAAAGCUCCCGGCUCAACUGGGAGAGGUCGCUCAAGACUGCCGGUCUGGAGCGUGGUAGGGGAAGGCGGAAUUCCGGGUGUAGUGGUGAAAUGCGUAGAUAUCCGGAGGAACACCAGUGGCGAAAGCGGCCUUCUGGACCACGACUGACGCUCAGACGCGAAAGCUAGGGGAGCAAACGGGAUUAGAUACCCCCGUAGUCC
rnacentral:rRNA from 1 species